rnacentral:rRNA from 1 species
GAUGAACGCUGGCGGCGUGCCUAAUACAUGCAAGUCGAGCGAAUGGAUUAAGAGCUUGCUCUUAUGAAGUUAGCGGCGGACGGGUGAGUAACACGUGGGUAACCUGCCCAUAAGACUGGGAUAACUCCGGGAAACCGAAGCUAAUACCCGAUAUUGAAUUCGGUAGGCAUCUACUGAAUUUGAAAUGGUCCGCCGGUAAGGGAUGAGUUCGCGGCCUAUCAGCUUGUUGGUGAGGUAAUGGCUCACCAAGGCGACGACGGGUAGCCGGCCUGUGAGGGUGACCGGCCACAAUGGGACUGAGACACGGCCCAGAAUCCUACUGGAGGCAGCAGUGUGUAAUAUUGCACACUGGGCGCAAGCCUGAUGCAGCAACGCCGCGUGAGGGAUGACGGCCUUCGGGUUGUAAACCUCUUUUAGUAGGGAAGAAGCGAAAGUGACGGUACCUGCAGAAAAAGCACCGGCUAACUACGUGCCAGCCGCCGCCGUAA